GACGAACGCUGGCGGCGUGCCUAAUACAUGCAAGUAGAACGCAGUUGCGAACGGGUGAGUAACGCGUAGGUAACUGCCUCAUAGCGGGGGAUAACUAUUGGAAACGAUAGCUACUACCGCAUACUGUGAGAUGGACCUGCGUUGUAUUAGCUAGUUGGUGAGGUAAAGGCUCACCAAGGCGACGAUACAUAGCCGACCUGAGAGGACGAUCGUCCAGACGGGGACUGAGACAAGGCCCAGACUCCUACGGGGGGCAGCAGUAGGGAAGCUUCGGAAAUGAGCGGAAGUCUGAACGAGCAAUGCGGCGGGAGUGAAGAAGGUUUUCGGAUGGUAAAGCUCUGUUGUGAGAGAAGCGGUAACUAACGAGUAAGGGACGGCUAACGACGUGCCAGCGGCCGCGGUAAUUC
rnacentral:rRNA from 1 species